GACGAACGCUGGCGGCGUGGAUUAGGCAUGCAAGUCGAACGGUAGGAUACCUCGGGUAUCUGAGAGUGGCGAACGGGUGAGUAACACGUAGGUGAUCUACCCUCAAGAUUGGGACAACCCAGGGAAACUUGGGCUAAUACCGGAUGAAAGCAGCAGUGAUGUUGUUUGAAAGGUGGCGUAAGCUGCCGUUUGGGGAUGAGCCUGCGCUCUAUUAGUUAGUUGGCGGGGUAAAGGCCCACCAAGGCGAUGAUAGAUAGGCGGCCUUAACGGGUGGUCGCCCACACUGGGAUUGAGAUACGGCCCAGACUCCUACGGGAGGCAGCAGUCGAGAAUAGUCUACAAUGGCCGAAAGGCUGAUAGUGCGACGCCGCGUGAACGAAGAAGCCCUUCGGGGUGUAAAGUUCUUUUAUAUGUGAGCAGUGCUUUCUAUGUGAACAGCAUGGGGAGAGAGAUAUUAGCAUAUGAAUAAGCAACGGCUAACUCCGUG
rnacentral:rRNA from 1 species